CACACUGUAUUUUCACUUAAUGACAGUUUAUUUGAACGUUUUGUUCAGUGUUUGGUUGGACUAACAGACACUCCAAGGAGUCCCUGCUCAGUUUUCUGAGGAAAGGUACUGUACUUGGUUGUGGCUGCAACUGUGCUGCUGCUGAGUCUGUUUUUGUACUUUAAACUGAGGAACCACAAACAUGACACAGCAGGUGAGGGAUUAUCAGUUAGAGACCACCAGCAGCCUCCACACUGAAGCUGGAGACCACACAUCAGUGAGGACUUCCAUCUCUCUACUCCACAGCCUGCUUCAACACAGAGGCAGUCACCCAGCCCAGGAGACACCUCAUAUAGCUGGACCCUCUGGCGUGUACACCACCACCAGACACUCAAAGACAUGGUUCCUGCUAGUGUUAUUGUUGCUAUACAGUAUGUAUAGAGACUGUAUCCCAAAUUGGGCACAUCUGCAGUGCCGCAUUUUCCGGUGUCAGUCCCCACCAAUGUAGGUAUAAUUGAUUUAUAUAUUUUACAAUCUACAUGUGAAAUUUCAUUUAUAUACAUGGAGAUUUACAUGUUGAAUUACAAUAUGAAAGUAACUCUGAUGAGAGAAAGCAGUAAGAAUGCUUGGGAGACCAGACGACGAUCUUAAAAGUAUCUUUAUUUUUACUGUAUUGUAUUUUAUUGUGAAUGACAGAAGUAUGGUCCGGUUGUGUUGAUAACGAUGGUUGAUAAAGGUGAUAUUUAUUUGGAUUACCCAGAAACAUCCAAUUUCCCCCGAACAACUCAGGAGCCCCCAUUGUUUUACAGCGAGGAGAUCCAAGUGUACGAUUCGGGAUACAGUUAGCACACGGCUAAGGAUGACGUUAGCAUCCCUUAGCCGACUCUGGUAAACCUGAGCCUAAUGUACAAGGUUAAAACCAUAUACGGUUCGAAAGAUAAGAAGUUAGUCUUUAGUUUCACACCAUUUAAUUAAUUGGAAGCAUAACAUGAUCAUUUAAAUUAGUAGUUAAUGUGAAUAGAAUCUCAGCCGAAUGGUGUCCGAUUUGGGAUACAGUUACGUUGUCCCUUUGUAUAUUUUUAAUAUCUUGUCAAUCAUUUAUCCAUGCAGUUUGAUGUCGGGUUGAUAAAUUUCAAUUCCUAUUUUCAAUUCAAUGUAUCAUUGUAUUACUUUCUUUUCACUUGUGUGUAGUUAAGAAUUAAAAGUAAAAGCUAAGUUGAUUGUAUAGAAGUCUAUGAGAAAAUGACCCUUCUUCUCACUUGAUUUAUUUCAUCAGUAAACAUUUUCUUCUUAAAUACAGCAUGAUAUUAUUAAUAUUGUGUAAAUUAUGAUUCCAUCUAG